GAUGAACGCUGGCGGCGUGCCUAAUACAUGCAAGUCGAGCGAACAGACGAGGAGCUUGCUCCUCUGACGUUAGCGGCGGACGGGUGAGUAACACGUGGAUAACCUACCUAUAAGACUGGGAUAACUUCGGGAAACCUGAGCUAAUACCGGACAAUAUAUUGAACCGCAUGGUUCAAUAGUGAAAGACGGUUUUGCUGUCACUUAUAGAUGGAUCCGCGCCGCAUUAGCUAGUUGGUAAGGUAACGGCUUACCAAGGCAACGAUGCGUAGCCGACCUGAGAGGGUGAUCGGCCACACUGGAACUGAGACACGGUCCAGACUCCUACGGGAGGCAGCAGUAGGGAAUCUUCCGCAAUGGGCGAAAGCCUGACGGAGCAACGCCGCGUGAGUGAUGAAGGUCUUCGGAUCGUAAAACUCUGUUAUUAGGGAAGAACAAAUGUGUAAGUAACUAUGCACGUCUUGACGGUACCUAAUCAGAAAGCCACGGCUAACUACGUG
rnacentral:rRNA from 1 species